CGCGGGAUAGAUCAGGUGGCAGAUCGCCGGGCUCAUACCCCGGAGGCCGUCGGUUCGAAUCCGACUCCCGCAA
rnacentral:tRNA from 1 species